rnacentral:lncRNA from 1 species
CCUACAUCCCUGCUGCAGAUGACAGUGUCCCUGAUGUUCCUGACCUGAUGGCAGAGGAGCUCUUCUAGGUACCAGGAACAGAACAGAAUAACAGAACCUCAUGGAGAUAAAUCAUGGAAUUUUCUCACUACAUCAGAAGCCCUAGCUGUGAAGCUGUUUCUAAUCCAGUUGUAGAGAAUAAAACAAAGAUUUAUUAGAUGAAAACCAACUUUUUUCAUCUAAUACAAUUUUUGUUUAACUCUACAACUUCCAUUUAUCAUGUAGACACUGUCCCAGGGUGUUAGAGACUGCAGUGAGAGGUGAGUGAUGUCCCAAAGGGAAAAAGGCCAGAGAUGAGAGGUCUGCAAGGAAUUCGCCUAGUGAGAACUUGCUUCUCCAGUGGUCCUUCGUACUCUUCAUGUUAGCUCACUUCACUGGUCAUGCCUGAAGCUCGUUAGUGUGCAUGACUCCUGCUUUUAUGUAAGUUCAG